CUUCUCCAUUAACCCUGUUAAGGGAUCAAAAGUGGAGAAGACCAGUACAGCCCACAUGCAGGUCAACCCUCGCGUACUCACUCUGAUCCAAGACCUGGCAGACUACAAGUGGCGGGACGUUUAAUAAUAUGUUUCUUCUCCAUUAACCCUGUUAAGGGAUCAAAAGUGGAGAAGACCAGUACAGCCCACAUGCAGGUCAACCCUCGCGUACUCACUCUGAUCCCAGACCUGGCAGACUACGAGUGGCGGGACGCUUAACAAUGUGAGGGCUACGAUGAUGAUGAGUCCAGGGAGAUCAGGCACCAUCUACCCCCAACCCUUCCUCAAGAAGCUCCCAUCCAAAUAAUGUUUGUUUAAACAUUUACUAUGUUAAUGUUAUUUUCAAGGGGUGCUAUAUUGUUAACCUAACUUGCUGUUCUUAAUAAUACUUGAUGUAUCUCAAACACCAAAAGCAAAAGUUUGUAAAGGCUCAACAUAUAAGCCAUUGCUUCAAAUUUUCUAAACUACUUAUUUUAAAGGGUUAGU